UUCUGGGUCGGGGUUUCGUACGUAGCAG
rnacentral:piRNA from 6 species